CAAACAUGGGAAGUUCUAGAAGGCUCUUGAGUAACUUUUAUGACCUACAUGCAAGCCAGAAGUAUUUAAUGUGAAUUGAAUGGAUAGGAAUAGAGAUAUCUUUCAGAGCAGUGGAUGAAAUCUUCUCAAGUCAAUCCAUACAGAGAUGGAGAAACUAAAAGGUUACCUAAUGAAAACUGACUCCAUCCAGCUACUCUCAGGAGAAAGGCAAUUCUUCUUAUGAGGAGGACAAGAUGUACCAUGAGGAAAUAUCAUGAAAAAUAACCCACUCCUGGCCCCAAUAGCUCCAGAAGCUACAUUUGAAAACAAAAAUAUGUUUAUUUUUUUAAUGUAAAUAGUCAAGCUAUAUGUUUUAAUCUUCUCUGCAAUGUCGUUAUUUUAGAAAAGAUUGAGCUAUACCCUUUAGAAAAUAGCACC